GUGCUCACUUCAGGAGUGCGUAUACUAAAAUAUGGACAAUACAGAAAAUGUUAUCAUGUCUUCUGUAUAAGGAUGAUACACAAAUGUAUGAAGUGUUCCAUAUCUUU
rnacentral:snRNA from 1 species